rnacentral:rRNA from 1 species
GAUGAACGCUGGCGGCGUGCUUAACACAUGCAAGUCGAGCGAACGGGCCACAUUCUUGCUUUUCUCAUGUUAGCGACGGGCGGGUGAGUCACACGUGGCUAACCUUUCUAUUUGAGUUGGCUUACUUCGACAAAGCGGAAUAACUACUAGAAACUCUUUUUAAAUGGUUGGUUCAAGAGAGAUUCAGGGUCUGGGUGUCGCUUAGCGACGUAUCCGCGCUGUAGUGGGUAGUUGGUUAGGUAACGGCUUACCGAGGCGCCGAUGCAUAGCCGACCUGAGCGGGUGUACGGCCACACAGGAACUGAGCCGCGGUCCAGACUCUUAGGGGAGGCAGCAGUAGCGAAUGGUCCGCAAUGGGCGGAAGCCUGACGGAGCGACGCCGGGCGAGUGAUGAAGGUCCGCGGAUCGUAUAACUCUGUUAUUGGUGAAGAACAUAUGUGUAAGUAACUGUGCACAUCUUGACGGUACCGAAUAAGAAAGCCACGGCUAACUACGUG